GAAGGUAUUGCUCAGUGGUAGAGUGCAUGCCUAAUAUGCACAAGCACAACGUCCUGGGUUCAGUCCCCAGUACCUCCA
rnacentral:tRNA from 1 species